rnacentral:rRNA from 1 species
AACAAGGUCUCCGUUGGUGAACCAGCGGAGGGAUCAUUAA